GACGAACGCUGGCGGCGUGCCUAAUACAUGCAAGUUGAGCGCUGAAGGUUGGUACUUGUACCAACUGGAUGAGCAGCGAACGGGUGAGUAACGCGUGGGGAAUCUGCCUUUGAGCGGGGGAUAACAUCUGGAAACGAAUGCUAAUACCGCAUAAAAACUUUAAACACAAGUUUUAAGAUUGAAAGACGCAUUUGCAUCACUCAAAGAUGAUCCCGCGUUGUAUUAGCUAGUUGGUGAGGUAAAGGCUCACCAAGGCGAUGAUACAUAACCGACCUGAGAGGGGGAUCGGCCACAAUUGGACUGGGAAACCGCCCAAACUUCUACCGGAGGCAGCAGUAAGGAAUCUUCGGCAAUGGACGAAAGUCUGACCGGACAACGCCGCGUGGAUGAAGAAGGGUUUCGGAUCGUAAAACUCUGUUGGUAGAGGAAAACGUUGGUGGGAGUGGAAUGCUCAUCAAGUGACGGUAACUACCCAGAAAGGGACGGCUAACUACGUG
rnacentral:rRNA from 1 species